rnacentral:misc_RNA from 1 species
AAAAAAAAAAAAAAUAAUAAAAGAUGGACGAUUAUCAUAAAAUUGAUAGGAUUCGCUAUCUGAUAGCAGCUGAGGCUUUUGCCAAAUAUCUCUUUGCAGGUACAUGCGGGGAGGCAUCUUCUGAUUUUCUCCAACUGGGGAAGCAAGGAUCCACAAGUGAGGCCUAUACUGGAUAAAACCGCCUCGAAACUAUACUGGGUAUAUUAAUUAUACAGGGAAACGUCCAUUCUCAAUGAAGGAAUCAGUUGCCACAUAUAACAACUGCUUGGUGCUAAGCUGGAGAAACAAACAAUUCAAUCUCCACAAUCUCCAUGGUAAAAGUUAUCGACAAAGAGAGCACAAAAUGGAAGAAGCAUAAGAUAGAGAAAGCAACAUGAGCCUCAUGGCACUUUGAGAUUGCCCAAGUCCGGCCCGCCCUUCGUUUCUUGAGAUUUUCAUCGUCUCUCUCUACAUCCCCACGCUAGUUGCCAAUAUGUGCCAUACCCACUCAAACAAUAGCCAUUUUUCUCCGGGUGAAACGAGGAGUGCAUAGAGUUGAGCUUCUCUUCUUCCCAUCUUCAGCUGCAGUCUUGGGAUCUCCUUACUAGUUUAUGCUACAACAUUAGAAUCUGAGAGUCCAGUUAAUGCCAAAUAUGUCUUAUCAGACCAGUUUCUCCCUUACUCAGUUCAUGAACAGAACCAUUGAUGCCACAGCCUGUAAACCGGGUGCUAUCUUCAGGUAUGGGAUCACUAAACGUCUUAUUUUCUGUACAACAGCGCCAGCUAGGCCUGGCCACCUGUCCAGGCUGAUUCUAGGCCGGAACUAGUGAUUCAGCUCAUGGAGAGAGAGUGAACUGAAACUGGACUGAAUUAGUCUGAGAAAC